rnacentral:lncRNA from 1 species
UCUGAUAUGGUUCAUUUGGACUAAUGUAGUAGCGUAUCUGGCUCAAUCCAAAUUGGAGGUAGACAAACCAUUGGGAUUUCCAUGUUGGUUUGAGAAUGAUUAAUAGAAAGCAAAUCAGGAAAAACAAAGAACUUUGAAUGAAAAAAAUAAAGACUUGUAUUGAUCAAAGUCUGACAAAUCGAACUCUAAUUGACUUAAAUUCUAAUGACCAUGAUUACAACUUAUUUAUAGACUCAGAAAUUACUAUGGACAAUCCCACUUCACAGAACGUGUAUCCACAACUCCACUUCUCUAAACUAUAAGCCAUAAACCUUAAUACUAGGAACACAACUCAACUAGAUAAUAACUACUUAGACUCAGUCAUUAGACUAAUGACAUGAACUUCUGACCUGGACAAAUAGCCUACUAGGACUGACCUGGACUAACUAAUCUGACAUGGAAGGAUGACGCAUCAAUUCUCAACACUCCCCUUUGAUGCAAAUUCCGAAACUCCAAGCGACGAUCUGAAUAGAGCAAACUUUGGAUAUGAAAGCGCCUUAGUGAAACCAUCCGCAACUUGUUCAUUCGUAGGACAGUACUUCAACACGAUCAUGUCCUUGGAAACGAGAUCUCGAAUGUAAUGGUGAUAGAUCUCGAUAUGCUUUGUCCUGCCAUGAAAAACUGGAUUCUUUGUCAUUGCUAUGGUAGCUUUGUUGUCGCAGUAAAUCACCGUUGCAUCUUCUUGAACAUGCUUCAAGUCUUCCAAAAUUCUCCGCAUCCAAAUAGAUUGACAAGCAGCUGAAGUAGCUGCUGCAUAUUCAGCCUCUGAUGACGAGAGUGCAACAGUUGCUUGCUUUUUCGAACUCCAUGAUAUAGCACCUGAACCAAGACUGAAAAUAAAGCCACUUGUGCUCUUCCUGUCAUCCACAAAACCAGCCCAAUCGCUGUCAGUAAACCCAAGCAAACUGAACUUACAAACUGGUUUGUACCAUAUGCCGUAGUUGCUUGUUGCCCGAACAUAACGAAGAAUUCUCUUUGCAGCUCCAAGAUGAUGAAUAGAAGGACUAUGCAUAAACCUUGACACCAAACUGAUUGGAAACAUGAUAUCUGGUCGCGAGUUUGUUAAGUACAUUAAUCCUCCAACAAUACCGUGAAACAAUGUCUCAUUAGCCUUUGCAGUUCCAUCAUUCAUUGAUAACUUUUCACUUGUGUUCAUAGGAGUGGAUGAGGUCUUACAAUUCAGCAUGUUAUACUUCUCAAGUAAAUCAAGUGCAUACUUUUCUUGACAAAUAAAUAUGCCACAAUCAGAUUGACAAACUUGAAGACCAAGAAAGUAAUGCAACAAACCCAAAUCAGACAUAUCAAAUUCAUGCAUCAUGCUCUCCUUAAACUCUUUGAUAAGAACACUAGAUGAUCCAAUGUAUAUAAUAUCAUCCACAUAAACACAAACGACCAGAAUUUCCUUACCUUUCACCUUCACAUACAAUGUUGGCUCACUAUUACUUCGCUGAAAAUCUGAUUUCUGAAAAUAAGAGUCAAGGCGGUUGUACCAUGCUCUCGGGGCUUGCUUAAGUCCAUACAAUGCUUUCUUCAAUUUGUAAACUUUUUCCUCCUGUCCGUCCACAACGAAUCCCUGUGGCUGUUCGACAUACACAUCUUCUUCUAAUAACCCAUUAAGAAAAGCGGACUUGACAUCAAAUUGAAAUACUUGCCAUUUCAUUUGAGCAGCAAAAGCCAAAAUAAACCGAACAGUUUCAAACCGAGCAACAGGAGAGUAAGUGUCAAAGAAAUCUACCCCAUACUGUUGCACAUAACCUUUAGCAACGAGUCUAGCUUUCAAUUUCUGCACACUGCCAUCCGCAUUGUACUUCACCUUGUAGACCCACUUGACGCCAAUUGCUUCUUUUUCGGGUGGCAAAUCUACUAGCUCCCAUGUCUGAUUUUUUUCAAUGGCGUCAAUUUCUGCUUGCAUAGAGGUUUCCCAUUCUUCUUUGCCUUCAGCCUCGUCAUAACUCAUAGGUUCUGCAAUCAUAAGAGCAAAGGUGCAAGAUUCAUAAACAUCUUUCAAAGAUCGAUACCUUAGCGGAGGUGAAUCAGUAUCAAGAGUGGGAUCAGAACUGCUGUUGCCUUCACCACUUGGACUGCGUGGAGAGUUCAUUCUUGGUGAUGAUUCAGGAGAGACAAUAAUUUCCUUCGAAUUUGGAGGUUCGCCUUCACCUUCGACAAAUGGAGCAUGCUGAAUUUUCGAGACAUUCCAGUCCCAAACACUGCCUUCAUCAAAAAUAACAUCUCGACGAAUAAUCAAUUUCUUAGUUUCUGGAUUAUACAACCUAUAACCCUUUGUCUCAUCGCUAUACCCAACAAAGAUGCAUUUUUCACUUUUCUUAUCAAGCUUGGUGCGCUCAUUAGAACCGAUCAAGGAAUAAGCAAUGCAUCCAAAAACUUUUAAAUGACUCACAUUGGGUUUUCGCUGCCACCACGCCUCAUAUGGAGUCAUGUUGGGUACCGCCUUAGUUGGAGAGGUGUUUAGAAGGAAGACUGAUGUUGCAACUGCCUCAGCCCAGAAAUCAUUUGGAAGUUGCUUCUCAUUAAUCAUACUUCGAGCCAUUUCUACCACGGUUCUAUUCUUCCUUUCUGCGACCCCAUUCUGUUCAGGUGUUCUUCUCACUGUUAGAUGCCUACGAAUGCCAUGCCUCGUGCAGAAAGAAAUGAAAUCAGCAGAUAAGAACUCUCCUCCUCUGUCUGUUCUAAGAAUUUUGACGACUUCGCCACUUUCUUUCUCUGCAAAAGCUUUAAAUUCCUGAAAUUUCUCAAAUGCUUCAGACUUAUAAGUAAGAAAAUAAACCCAACUCAUGCGAGUACAAUCAUCAAUAAAGAGCCAGAAGUAUCUACUCUUAUUGAAUGAAGGAGUAUUUGUCGGACCACAAAUAUCUGCAUGAAUGAGUUCAAGAGGCCUUUUUGCACGCCAAGAUUUGCCAACAGGAAAUGAUAACCGGUGUUGCUUCCCAUACACACAACCUUCACAAACAUCAUCAAUACCAGCAAUAAAAGGCAAACCAAACACCCAAUUUUUCUGUCUCAACAACUUCAGCCCAUUAAAAUGUAAAUGACCAUAACGCAAGUGCCAAAUCUUUGAUUCAUCAUUAAUACUAGCAGCGAAUGCACAAGCAUCAAGACACGAGAAAACAAUAGGAAACAUUUUGUUUUGAGUCAUACGAAUCUUAAUAUGAGGCACAUCUGAAUUUCGCUUCUUAAUUUCACACAUAUCACCAUCAAACAUAACGGAAAACCCACUUUCAAUCAACUGUCCCACACUAAGCAAGUUAUGAGCUAAACCAGGAAUGUAAUAAACAUCAUGAAUUAUGUUUUUGAUACCUGAUUUAGUCGGAACUGCAGCUGUCCCUUUUCCUUCAAUUUGAACUUGCUUAUUAUCUCCAAGUCGAACUUGCAACUUUACUGAUUCGUCAAGACUACGAAAAAUGCUUCUUUCACCUGUCAUAUGGUUACUACAACCACUAUCUAGAAACCAAAUGUCAAUCUUACUUUCUUGAGCCAUAAGACAAGUAAGAAACAAAUUACUGUUUUCCUGUUUUUCAUCACAGAAUUUAGCUUGCGGCUUCUCCUUUUCCCAACAAUUCGCUUCAAUAUGGCCCCACUUCUUACAGAAAUGGUAUUGCUUGCUUUUGUAAUUCUUCUUGUGAUUUUCUCUAUCACCAUAAUCUGAAUUGUGACUACCAAAAUCAGAUCUUCCACGGCCUCUUCCACGACCACGAAAACCACCUCUUCCUCGGCCACGACCUGCAAAUCUAUUAGAGGAAGAACCAUCAAAUUUCUUUUCUUUGUCAGAAAUCUCUACCUUUGACUGGAAAGCUUGCUCAAUAUUCUUCUCCGAUGAUCUGUUUUGCAUCCUUUCUUCAUUAGCAGACAGAGAACCCAUUAAUUCAUUAAGAGAAUAAUCAGACAAAUCCUUAGACUCUUCAAUGGCAGUAACUACAUGAUCAAAUUUAGACGGCAGACUCCUCAAAACCUUCUCUACAACUUUCUGAUCAUCAAUAUUUUCACCAAAACUCUUCAUUUGAUUAACAAUAGUUGAAACUCUAGAGAAAAAAUCUUGAACAGAUUCACUACCUUUCAUGAAGAGAGUCUCAAAUUCUCUUCGAAGAGUUUGAAGUUUCACCGUGGUUACCUUAGCGUCGCCAUGGAACUCCUGCUUCAAAAUUCUCCAAGCUUCCUUCGAUUUGGUGGCAUUUGCUAGUCUUGGGAAGAUAGACUCCGCCACAGCCUGCUGUAGAACAAGUAAGGCUUUUGCAUCCUUCUUGCGAUUCUCUUUCAAAUUCUCUGCAAUCUUAGAACUUUCAGUAUCUGCAUAGCCAUUCUCAACCAAAUCCCAAAGAUCUUGAGAAAUAAAAAAUGUUCUCAUCUUGAUACUCCAAAAUUCAUAAUUUUCACCAUUAAAAAUAGGCACCAAAUUUUGUGAGAGGUUUAGAGUAUUCAUACCGUUUGACAUGAUGAAUUACCCAAAAACAACAAAUUCUGAAAAUACCUCUUCCACCAAUGAUCGAUACGCGUCGACUCCAAUUGAAAGAUCUUUGCUACAGCAACAAAAUCUUUCCACGCCCAAUUGAAAGAACUUGGCUCUUGAUACCAAAACUGUUGGUUUGAGAAUGAUUAAUAGAAAGCAAAUCAGGAAAAACAAAGAACUUUGAAUGAAAAAAAUAAAGACUUGUAUUGAUCAAAGUCUGACAAAUCGAACUCUAAUUGACUUAAAUUCUAAUGACCAUGAUUACAACUUAUUUAUAGACUCAGAAAUUACUAUGGACAAUCCCACUUCACAGAACGUGUAUCCACAACUCCACUUCUCUAAACUAUAAGCCAUAAACCUUAAUACUAGGAACACAACUCAACUAGAUAAUAACUACUUAGACUCAGUCAUUAGACUAAUGACAUGAACUUCUGACCUGGACAAAUAGCCUACUAGGACUGACCUGGACUAACUAAUCUGACAUGGAAGGAUGACGCAUCAAUUCUCAAUAUUCCAGUGGAUAAGGUACAUAGCCCAUCAAGGGGAAGACUCCAAUAUCGUUGGGUUUCAAUUUAGAUAUUUCAAAACCAGCAUAUGCAAGACAAUCAUCAGUGUAGUAGAUACAAUUCGGCUUGUAAGCGCAACCACGAAAAUUUGAUGCUGAUAAAGAAAAUGAAGAAUUAUGACCUAAAAACAAUAUAUGAUCAUUUAGGCUUUUCACACUAAUCCACUCAAGUUUAUCUGUAUCUAACUUGAAGACUUUGAAAUCCAUUCGUAUAAUCAUAUCUAUAAUUCUCCUUGUCCUCCUCCUCAUCUUCCUGAGGUUGAUCAUCUCUUUCCCUUAAUAUAAGUAACAAGUACCCAGAUGAUUCAACAAGAUACCUCACCACAAAAUUACUAUCCGACAUCACGAAAACAAUAUGGGGGUCUUGUUGGAAUGCUUGAGAUCAUGGGAACUUGAGGAUCAUUAAGAUCUCCAGAGUAGACCUUUCCAAACUCAUCCAC